CUUAAACGGCUGCUAAACGCGGGCAAUGGCGUGAGUUUGAGGCGGGGCGCGGAGUGUUUGAGAAACAUGUUUGAAAACAGUCGUAAUUGUUUGACGCUAGUGAAGAGAAAUCGCGCUCUUCAUUUUCAAGAAGGCAGUGUGUUACUUCAUUUGUAUGCUUUAACAUUACUCUAGAAAACACAUUAAAGGUCAGUUUUACCAUUACACUGUGCCAACCUGGCUGAAACUGAUAGGUCUCUGGUAAAGAAGGGGUUUCUGGGGAACAGGCUCUUCACAAAGAUAAGCCACCCCACCACUGGAACCAUCACUCUUUCACUGGAGGGAAAUCCUACAGGGAAAUGCCUUAUAUUGGAUGAAAACAAGAGGUGGAGUAACUGCUCACAGGCUUUGAGAUGAGCUUUAUGAAAACAUCAGGCCUGACAACGUUGGUGCUCCACUCCUGAGCCCUUUCCAACCCUGCAGCCUCGUUAGUCCUCACUUCUUCUUUCAUAAAAAUAAUAUAUAGAGCCGCACUGACCUACUACACUAUUUAUAAAGCUCAAAUGGUCUGUCCUGAUGCCCUCAUGC